rnacentral:rRNA from 1 species
AACGAACGCUGGCGGCGUGCCUAACACAUGCAAGUCGCACGAGAAAGGGGUAGCAAUACCCCCGGUAAAGUGGCGAACGGGUGAGUAACACGUGGGUAACCUGCCCUCGAGCUCGGAAUAACCCGCCGAAAGGUGGGCUAAUACCGGAGAAAGCUCCCGGACCUCCGGGACCGGGAACCAAAGAUGGCCAAUGCUUGCAAGCUAUCACUUGAGGAGGGGCCCGCGGCCCAUUGGCUAGUUGGCGGGGUAACGGCCCACCAAGGCAACGAUGGGUAGCUGGUCUGAGAGGAUGAUCAGCCACACUGGGACUGAGAUACGGCCCAGACUCCUACGGGAGGCAGCAGUGGGGAAUUUUGCGCAAUGGGCGAAAGCCUGACGCAGCAACGCCGCGUGAGCGAAGAAGGCCUUCGGGUUGUAAAGCUCUGUCAGGGGGAAAGAAGGCACCUGGGUUAAUAGCCCAAGGGCUGACGGUACCCCCAAAGGAAGCCACGGCUAACUACGUGCCAGCCGCCGCAGUAAGAC